ensembl:lncRNA
GUAUACGGGUGUGGUCACAGACCUCUUACCCAGCCAGGUGGAUUCUUUACCAACUGAGCUAUCAAGAGAGAUGAGUGAAUUUUACCCAAGGCUGGAUGACGGCACCAGAAUUCAACAGAACUCAUCAGGCCAUUUGUCACCAUUUGGGUCGUCACAGGAGUAUCCAGCCAGAUCUUGGAGGUAUUUCUGCUUUGGUUCCGGGUCAACAGAAUAAAGUGGAUACUACAAUAAAGAAUCUGGAAUACUAGGACAAUCGUAUCACUAAUACAAAGCCCUGGCUCCUUGUUUCUGUGACCCUCUGUCACAAAAGGACAAAGGCUUCCUGUUCCCCCUUGUCCUUGGAGAUCACGGGCAGCAGUCUCGGCUGUGUGAGCACACAUCUCAUUCUGGACCUGGAUGCUGCUUGGUUUGGUCUGAGUCGCAGCUAAAACAAAGCCGUUUCCCUCGGCCUCCAGGGCUCCUGGCUGAGCUCCGCCGGCUGCGGGCCCUGCCCAGCACGCCCUGCCACUCAGAUGUCACUGGUGUCCCUGUUGGCCACACACCCCCCACCCAGGGGAGAAAUUAAGGCGAUUUCACUGAGGCCCACUGCCUGGGCAGUUCACAGCCCUCCUGGAGGAGCCAGAUAGAACUUGGACAGAGUCAGAGGAGCCCAAGAGGGUGAUGCGAAGCUGGAGACCCAGUUGAAGGAUCUGGCUUAGAAGAGGCAGAGACGCUUCAUUUAAAGGAGAAAAAGUAGAAGAUAACUUCACAAGAAUCUAAGUUUAUGAUGAAGUAUCCAUCUGCAUGUCCAUGGGUGAGGGUAGAUAGACACGGUAUGCCCAUGGAGGAAAUUUCCUCCAUGGUGGGUGCCUUUCAGGCUGGUGAGAAUGCUGCAGGCUGAGGCUGGACCAAAGACAGAAAUCAGAAAACACGCCCCACUCUCAUGGUUCAUUCAUUGUAGCCCAAAGACUUAAAGCUUUUAAAAUGUCAGACAGAUAUUUGACUUGAGAGAGUGAAAAUUUAAAAAGUAAAUUAAAAACAUACUUGUAUUUAGAAAUCAAUUUUAUAAUCCCAUGAAAACUUUCCUAUGUUUCUCUUAAUCAAGCCUGGAAAUGAAAGUAAUCUUAACAUUUGCUUGCUUAACAGAUCUGUGUGACUGUAUAGCUAUUUAUGGAAUUUGUUGUAAAAACAGAGAAGGAGAACUAUCAAUACUUGACAAAGUUAAGCAGUCUGGCCAAAAGAGAGAUCCUUUUUAUUAUUGGAAAUCACUUUUUUUUGACUUGCGUUUUUCUCUGGCUUAACUCCCAGGUAC